ACUCCUACGGGAGGCAGCAGUGGGAAUAUUGCGCAAAUGGGGGCAAGCCCUGACGCAGCCAUGCCGCGUGAGUGAAGAAGGCCUUAGGGUUGUAAAACUCUUUCAGUGGUGAAAGAUAAUGACGGUAGCCACAGAAGAAGCCCCGGCCAACUCCGUGCCAAGCAGCCGCGGUAAUACGGAGGGGCUAGCGUUGUUCGGAAUUACUGGGCGUAAAGCGCGCGUAGGCGGACUGGUCAGUUGGGGUGAAAUCCCGGGGCUUAACCUCGGAACUGCCUUCAAUACUGCCAGUCUUGAGUUCGAGAGAGGUAAGCGGAAUUCCUAGUGUAGAGGUGAAAAUUCGUAGAUAUUAGGAAGAACACCGGUGGCGAAGGCGGCUUACUGGCUCGAUACUGACGCUGAGGCGCG
rnacentral:rRNA from 1 species